rnacentral:rRNA from 1 species
CCUACGGGGGGCAGCAGUAGGGACUCUUCCACAAUGGGCGAAAGCCUGAUGGAGCAACGCCGCGUGGGUGAAGAAGGUCUUCGGAUCGUAAAACCCUGUUGUUAGAGAAGCAAGUGCGUGAGAGUAACUGUUCACGUUUCGACGGUAUCUAACCAGAAAGCCACGGCUAACUACGUGCCAGCAGCCGCGGUAAUACGUAGGUGGCAAGCGUUAUCCGGAUUUAUUGGGCGUAAACGGAACGCAGGCGGUCUUGUAAUGGUGAUGUGAAAGCCUUCGGCUUAACCGGAGUAGUGCAUUGGAAACUGGGAGACUGGAGUGCAGAAGAGGAGAGUGGAACUCCAUGUGUAGCGGUGAAAUGCGUAGAGAUAUGGAAGAACACCAGUGGCGAAAGCGGCUCUCUGGUCGGUAACUGACGCUGAGGUUCGAAAGCGUGGGUAGCAAACAGGAUUAGAUACCCGGGUAGUC